AUGAACGCUGGCGGCGUGCUUAACACAUGCAAGUCGAACGGAAAGGCCUCUGCUUGCAGGGGUACUCGAGUGGCGAACGAGUGAGUAACACGUGGGUGAUCUGCCCUGCACUUCGGGAUAAGCCUGGGAAACUGGGUCUAAUACCGGAUAGGACAAUGGUUUGGAUGCUGUUGUGGAAAGUUUUUCGGUGUGGGAUGAGCUCGCGGCCUAUCAGCUUGUUGGUGGGGUAAUGGCCUACCAAGGCGUCGACGGGUAGCCGGCCUGAGAGGGUGUACGGCCACAUUGGGACUGAGAUACGGCCCAGACUCCUACGGGAGGCAGCAGUGGGGAAUAUUGCACAAUGGGCGCAAGCCUGAUGCAGCGACGCCGCGUGGGGGAUGACGGCCUUCGGGUUGUAAACUCCUUUCGCUAGGGACGAAGCGUUUUUGUGACGGUACCUGGAGAAGAAGCACCGGCUAACUACGUG
rnacentral:rRNA from 1 species